rnacentral:rRNA from 1 species
AUUGAACGCUGGCGGCAGGCCUAACACAUGCAAGUCGAGCGGAUGAAGGGAGCUUGCUCCUGGAUUCAGCGGCGGACGGGUGAGUAAUGCCUAGGAAUCUGCCUGGUAGUGGGGGAUAACGUCCGGAAACGGGCGCUAAUACCGCCUACGUCCUGAGGGAGAAAGUGGGGGAUCUUCGGACCUCACGCUAUCAGAUGAGCCUAGGUCGGAUUAGCUAGUUGGUGGGGUAAAGGCCUGCCAAGGCGACGAUCCGUAACUGGUCUGAGAGGAUGGUCAGUCACACUGGAACUGAGGCACGGUCCAGACUCCUACGGGAGGCAGCAGUGGGGAAUAUUGGACAAUGGGCGAAAGCCUGAUCCAGCCAUGCCGCGUGUGUGAAGAAGGUCUUCGGAUUGUAAAGCACUUUAAGUUGGGAGGAAGGGCAGUAAGUUAAUACCUUGCUGCUUUGACGUUACCAACAGAAUAAGCACCGGCUAACUUCGUG